rnacentral:rRNA from 1 species
ACGCACGACACCUACAGGAGGCAGCAGUGGGGAAUAUUGCACAAUGGAGGAAACUCUGAUGCAGCGACGCCGCGUGAGCGAAGAAGUAUUUCGGUAUGUAAAGCUCUAUCAGCAGGGAAGAAAAAGGACGGUACCUGACUAAGAAGCUCCGGCUAAAUACGUGUCAGCAGCCGCGGUAAUCUGAGCGGGCUGGCAAGGC